UACGGGGGGAGCAAGCGUUGUUCGGAUUUACUGGGCGUAAAGGGCGCGUAGGCGGCGCGGUAAGUCACUUGUGAAAUCUCUGAGCUUAACUCAGAACGGCCAAGUGAUACUGCAGUGCUAGAGUGUGGAAGGGGCAAUCGGAAUUCUUGGUGUAGCGGUGAAAUGCGUUGAUAUCCACAGGAACUCCGGUGGCGAAGGCGGCACGCUGGACCCCCACUGACGCUGAGGCGCGAAAGCCAGGGGAGCGAACGGG
rnacentral:rRNA from 1 species